rnacentral:rRNA from 1 species
CAGUAGCCGCGGUAAUACGAAGGGUGCAAGCGUUAAUCGGAAUUACUGGGCGUAAAGCGUGCGUAGGCGGUUUGUUAAGUCUGUUGUGAAAUCCCCGGGCUCAACCUGGGAAUGGCAAUGGAUACUGGCAAGCUAGAGUGUGUCAAAGGAUGGUGGAAUUCCCGGUGUAGCAGUGAAAUGCGUAGAGAUCGGAAGGAACAUCUGUGGCGAAGGCGACUAUCUGGGCCAACACUGACACUGAGACACGAAAGCGUGGGGAGCAAACAGGAUUAGAUACCCGCGUAGUCCCUGUCUCUUAUAC